rnacentral:misc_RNA from 1 species
CAAGAAGUGUGUACGUGUGCGCGUCCUCAGCGGUGCCCACUCCUGUCACCAACUUCCGCUCUCCCUCUCUCGCGCCUAUCACGUAUUCUUUUCGCUCAGUUUCAGCCAUCUGGGCUAGGCCGUCUAUACCUCCAUCAGCAUCGGCAUUUUGGGUAGAAGCACUGAAAACGAUCCUCUUUCUGUCCCUCCUCCUCUUCCCUAUUACGGACCCUUUUUCUCUGUAUUGUGAGCGUCAAGUGAGCGAAAAUGAUGUAUACAGGUGAAAUCGAGAACGGCCAGAUGCAUGGCCGGGGCUGCCUCAUCUACCCGAACAAGGAGAAGUACGAGGGCGACUGGGUGUACGGCAAGCGUCACGGCCACGGCGUGUACACAUACGCGGACGGUAGCAAGUACGAUGGGGAGUGGGUGGAGGAUAAGGUGCACGGCAAGGGCACAUGCUACUACGCCAGCGGCAAUCGCUACACCGGUGACUGGACGUUUGGCCGCAUCAACGGCCGCGGUACCCUCGAGUACGCCGACGGCGAUCGCUACGACGGUGAGUGGAAGGACGGCCGCAUGCAUGGCAAGGGUCUCUACUACUACUCCAACGGCGACCGCUACGACGGCGAGUGGAAGGAUGAUAAACGUCACGGAAAGGGUACGGUGACGUACGCCGGCCCCGACGGUAGCGUGUCGGAGAAGUUCGACGGCGACUGGGUGGAGGGGCGCAUGCAGGGCUGGGGUAAGUACUACUACGCCGACGGCGGCGUUUACGAGGGCGAGUGGCAGGAUGGCAAGAUGCACGGCAAGGGUACGUACAUAUUCCCGAACGGCAACAAAUACGAGGGUGAGUGGUGCGACGAUGUGAAGCAGGGCUACGGUGUGCUGACCUACGUCAACGGCGAGCGCUACGAGGGCUACUGGCUGGACGACAAGGCGCACGGCACCGGCACCCUCACCUACCUCCAGGGUGACCGCUAUACAGGCGAGUGGUACCAGGGCAAGAAACACGGCCGCGGUACUCUGGCCUAUAGCAACAAAGACACGUAUGAGGGCGAGUGGCGGAACGACAGCGCGACCGGCCGAGGUGUGCUCGAGUACGCGAAUGGGUGCCGCUACGAGGGAGACUGGUUGGAUGAUAGGCGCCACGGCGAAGGCCAGCUGUUGCUACCGGACGGCUCCAGCUAUGAGGGUGGGUGGGUGAAUGGCAAGAAGGAGGGCCGCGCCCGCAUUAUCCUCAAGUGCGGCGCCGUCUUCGUGGGCACUUGGAAGGACAACCGUAUCGUGGGACAGGGCGAGUUCUACCUCUCCGAGAACUGCGACCUCAACAAUCCCGACUACUAGAGCACCCCUGCACCGACAUGUUUUUGUUUUGCGGACUCCCCCUCCCUGUUCAAGUUGUAUCAUCGGUCGCCCGUCCCUUUCUCUUGUCUGUAUGUACUGUUGCUCGUUUUUCCUCUCGUUUUAUGUGCGUGUCCGCCAAGCGCAGCCCCUUUGCCGCUGCUGCCGCCGCCACCCUACUCAUUCACCCCUCAUGUUGCGAAUGUCAUGCGGUCGCGCUGAUGGGGGAGGGGUGGGCGUGGCGUGCAGUGGUACCCUUCCUUUGUGUUCCGUUUUAGAACUUGGCGAUUGCCUUUGGGUGUGCCUGUCACACGCCUGCCUGCCUGCCUGACUGUGUGUGCAUGUGUGCCCUGUACGCCACGUGAUUGAGCUUUUUUUUCUUCUUGGGGUCCGGGUUUGUUGUUGCGGCUUGUGUUUCGACUUUUGCACUAACGUGCGCAUUCCUAGAUCUCUUGUUCCUCUCGCUGUGGGCCACGUGGCGGCUGCGAGUCAGUGAUUGCCCGGAUGCGUGUGCGCGUCUGUAUGCAUGCGUCUCGUGUGAUGAAGCAGAGGGGCGAAGAGCGACGAGGGCCAUAUUUUGGAGCAGAUGAGAGGCGCAGAGUCAAGCGACUUUCUUUUUCCCUUUCUCUUUACUCCUUUGUUCGUGCACCGUUGCCUACGCCAUCCUCUGCCGGUGCUGUACGCCGCUCUGCUGGUGUGCGCGAGUGCACCACUUCUUCGCUCUACACCGGUUCUGCAUCGCUGCGUGUGCUGCGGUUUCGCACUCUUCCCAUGCAAGUGUAUGUAUGGCCGCCUCUCUCUUGCUACCCUUCCCUCGUCCUUUAUCAUAGACAGCAAACGUUGUAUUUCUUUAUUUACGUGUCACACGCCUGCCUGUGUGUGUGCUCUCUUUUUUUGGGAGCGGGUAGUACUUAUUGAGGGCUUUGCCAACAUCUCUGCCGGGAUUCGUCUGCCGAGCUCUUUUUUCUUGUGUUCCUCGUUGGUAUCCAUUCUUACCUCUGCCUCCCCCUGUUGCGUUCGCGCUUUCGUUGUUGUAAAGGGAAAGAAAAGAGUACAUGGCACACUGCGCACUGUCCCUGAAACAACUUAGGCGAAGUUGCCGCAUACCGCACGCGCUGGCUGUCAUGCACAUAAGCUAACCCGCGGACACACAUACAUACGCACGCACACACGAUCGUACAACUGGGCGAAAAGAAGAGGUGCAUCGCGACAUCCACGGACGCAGUCAUCAUUGCCAUUACCACUGCGCCUUCCCUUCCCUUCCCUUUUUUCCCCUUUUCCUUUUCCCCCUUUCUCUGCCUUUCCCUUUGUGUUGUGUUGCUUGCUCUCCCCCUUGAUUUGGGAGGGAGGGAGGGAGGGAGGGAGGAGGAGGGCGGACGGCGCGUACAUCUUUAGACAUGCAGAACUGCAAGCAACGAACGAAAAAAAAAUGACUCCACGGUGUUUGAACAAAACGAAAACACUAUUUAAACAAAGAACCGCGCUAGCAGCCGUCAUGAGAAGAAGCACACAUGAGGCAUGAAGAACGCAGGAGAGGGGAGAGAGUGAGAGGCAUGCGGUGGCUUGGUUUCGCGCGGAGAUGUGAAGAUGGAGCGAGGGCACAGACGGGGAGUGGGCAAGUGGUAACGGGAUUGUGGAUGGGGAGGGGCACUUGCGCCUCUGCUCUCCGCCUCCCCAUAUGUUUCGCUUGUUUCGUCUUCUCUUGCUUUGUUCUCACUCUCACCGACGCUCUCGGC